GGGUCCGUAGCUCAGCUGGUUAGAGUACUACCUUGACAUGGUAGGGGUCGGCGAUUCGAAUUCGCCCGGACCCACCA
rnacentral:tRNA from 1 species